AGCCGCACCAAUGUGUCGGAGGAAACACCGUUCAGCUGAUGACCGAAGUCAGCCUACAGGCAAGCUGGGAAAUGCAUAUCCUCAUAAGCCUGAACAGCAUCUGCACAGAUCUAGCAGAAGAACAGAAGGUGUUGACUAACAAGUAGAAUUGGGACAGCUGACCCAGAACAGAAGGAGUUGACCAACAAGUGGAAUUGGGACAGCUGACCCAGAACAGAAGGAGUUGACCAACAAGUAGAAUUGGGACAGAUGACCCAGAACAGGAGUUGACCAACAAGUGGAAUUGGGACAGAUGACCCAGAACAGAAGGAGUUGACCAACAAGUAGAAUUGGGACAGAUGACCCAGAACAGGAGUUGACCAACAAGUGGAAUUGGGACAGAUGACCCAGAACAGAAGGAGUUGACCAACAAGUGGAAUUGGGACAUAUGACCCAGAACAGAAGGAGUUGACCAACAAGUGGAAUUGGGACAGAUGCCCCAGAACAGAAGGAGAUAACCAACAAGUGGAAUUGGGACAGAUGUGCCAGAACAGAAGGAGAUGACCAACACGUGGAAUUGGGACAGAUGGCCCAGAACAGAAGGAGAUGACCAACAAGUGGAAUUGGGAAAGAUCAACUAGAACAGAAGGAGAUGACCAACAAGUAGAAUUGGGACAGAUAACCAGAACAGAAGGAGAUGACUAACAAGUAGAAUUGGGACAGAUUAACCAGGUCUCAACCUACAUGCACAUACACACACUAUGUUGAUGACAAUGUUUAUAAGAUUAAGUUAUUUCUCGAUGUAUCGCAGGAUGUAACUCUUGUGAUUGUAAUCAAGACUGUGUGUGUGUGUGUGUGUGUGUGUGUGUGUGUGUGUGUGUGUGUGUGUGUGUGUGUGUGUGUGUGUGUGUGUGUGUGUGUGUGUGUGUGUGUGUGCCAUGCAUACUUCCUGUAUAUACACCUCUUGCGUAGGUGAAUUACACUACGUUUCCUCUGCUUGUGCAUAGUACUCUGUGUAACAUAACAGUUUCCUAACAAUGCUAUCUCAGCGAAGGGGGUAUGAUAACAUUUACCAGUGUGUGGCAUAAACAGCAGGCCUUGUGAAUCCAGAGGAUAACCAGACUCCUGGGCCUCGCCCGGCUCCGAUAACGAGUGGAACUCUUCUCCCAACCUUAACAUGCCCUCUUUCUGGAUGGACCAUGUACUUAACUUGGACUGAAGACUGGGAAUCUUCCUUCCAGUGAAGAUGUUAUGCCAGGUUUUUCAUUGGACAUCAGAAUGAAUGUCCAAUUGUCUAUUCAACGGUCACCAACUCUGGAGAAAAGCUAGUGAGCUGCACAGACCAUCCACCCGAGCAUCUCUGCUAUGUUGUAAUUACAUGAUGUCUAUUUUAUGACUACAUUAUUAUUAUUAUUAUGAUGCUAUUAUCAAAAGCAACUGUGACAGGUGUUUACGACUCUCAUUGGUAGAAGGAAGAGUGGACCAAAGCGCAGCGUGGUCAAUGUUCAUGAUUCCUUUUAUUCAAAACCCAAAAAGUAAAGGACAACUUAUAUGUGAUCCCCAAUCAGAGGCAACGAUAGACAGCUGCCUCUGAUUGGGAACCAUGCUCAGCCAAAAACACAAAGAAAUAGAAA